GCGGUUGUAACUCAGUGGUAGAGUGUUCGCUUUGCAUGCGAAAAGCCCGGAGUUCAAUCCUCCGCAACUCAAUAGUA
rnacentral:tRNA from 1 species